rnacentral:rRNA from 1 species
CGCCUCUUGAAAAAUUAUAAGAGGUCCAGCCUGCCCAGUGAUAAAAUUAAACGGCCGCGGUACCCUGACCGUGCAAAGGUAGCAUAAUCACUUGUUCUCUCAAUAGGGACUUGUAUCAACGGCAUCACGAGGGUUAUACUGUCUCCUCUUUUUAAUCAGUGAAACUGACCUCCCCGUGAAGAGGCGGGGAUUUUUUUACAAGACGAGAAGACCCCAUGGAGCUUUAAACCCAAUAGCAGCCCACACUAAACUUACCCAAGAAUAGGAAAGCAGUGCUUAUUGGUUUUGGGUUGGGGUGACCACGGAGAAUAACUAAACCUCCACGACGAAUGGACCAUAAUCCUAAUCCACGAGCUACCACUCCAAGAAUCAAUAUUUUGACAUAAUAUGAUCCGGUAACCGAUCAACGAACCAAGUUACCCUGGGGAUAACAGCGCAAUCCAUUUCAAGAGCCCCUAUCGACAAAUGGGUUUACGACCUCGAUGUUGGAUCAGGGUAUCCUAGUGGUGCAGCCGCUACUAAAGGUUUGUUUGUUCAACAAUUAAAACCCU